UAUUGGGCCUAAAGCGUCGUAGCCGGCCAGACAAGUCCGUUGGGAAAUCCACGCGCUCAACGCGUGGGCGUCCAGCGGAAACUGUCUGGCUUGGGGCCGGAAGACUCGAGGGGUACGUCUGGGGUAGGAGUGAAAUCCUGUAAUCCUGGACGGACCGCCGGUAGCGAAAGCGCCUCGAGAGGACGGACCCGACGGUGAGGGACGAAAGCCAAGGUCUCGAACC
rnacentral:rRNA from 1 species